CUACGGGAGGCAGCAGUAAGGAAUAUUGCGCAAUGGAGGCAACUCUGACGCAGCCAUGCCGCGUGCAGGAAGAAGGCCUUAUGGGUCGUAAACUGCUUUUAUUUAGGAAUAAACCCCCGAACGUGUUCGGGGCUGAAGGUACUAAACGAAUAAGCACCGGCUAACUACGUGCCAGCAGCCGCGGUAAUACGGAGGGUGCAAGCGUUAUCCGGAUUUAUUGGGUUUAAAGGGUGCGCAGGCGGGCUAGUAAGUCAGUGGUGAAAUCCCGGGGCUCAACUCCGGAACUGCCAUUGAUACUGAUAGUCUUGAGUUUGGUUGAAGUGGGCGGAAUGUAGCAUGUAGCGGUGAAAUGCAUAGAUAUGCUACAGAACACCAAUCGCGAAGGCAGCUCACUAAGCCAAAACUGACGCUCAUGCACGAAAGCGUGGGGAUCAAACAGGAUUAGAUACCCCAGUAGUC
rnacentral:rRNA from 1 species